rnacentral:lncRNA from 1 species
UGGCUUAAAAGUCUCCACUCCAUGUGACAGCAAAAUAGUUCUUAGUUUCAAAUCCGGCAAGCAAGAAGAGUGAUUGUUUCCCUCACAAACACCUCUGAAGA